rnacentral:rRNA from 4 species
UUUAUUGGAGAGUUUGAUCCUGGCUCAGGAUGAACGCUGGCGGCGUGCCUAAUACAUGCAAGUCGAGCGAAUGGAUUAAGAGCUUGCUCUUAUGAAGUUAGCGGCGGACGGGUGAGUAACACGUGGGUAACCUGCCCAUAAGACUGGGAUAACUCCGGGAAACCGGGGCUAAUACCGGAUAACAUUUUGAACCGCAUGGUUCGAAAUUGAAAGGCGGCUUCGGCUGUCACUUAUGGAUGGACCCGCGUCGCAUUAGCUAGUUGGUGAGGU